UACAGAGGUCUCAAGCGUUGUUCGGAAUCACUGGGCGUAAAGCGUGCGUAGGCUGUUUCGUAAGUCGUGUGUGAAAGGCGCGGGCUCAACCCGCGGACGGCACAUGAUACUGCGAGACUAGAGUAAUGGAGGGGGAACCGGAAUUCUCGGUGUAGCAGUGAAAUGCGUAGAUAUCGAGAGGAACGCUCGUGGCGAAGGCGGGUUCCUGGACAUUAACUGACGCUGAGGCACGAAGGCCAGGGGAGCGAAAGGG
rnacentral:rRNA from 1 species